rnacentral:rRNA from 1 species
UACGGGGGGGGCAAGCGUUGUUCGGAAUUACUGGGCGUAAAGGGCUCGUAGGCGGCCAACUAAGUCAUACGUGAAAUCCCCCGGCUUAACCGGGGAACUGCGUCUGAUACUGGAUGGCUUGAGUUCGGGAGAGGGAUGCGGAAUUCCAGGUGUAGCGGUGAAAUGCGUAGAUAUCUGGAGGAACACCGGUGGCGAAGGCGGCAUCCUGGACCGAUACUGACGCUGAGGAGCGAAAGCCAGGGAGCAAACGGG